AAUAUUGCACAAUGGGCGCAAGCCUGAUGCAGCAACGCCGUGUGAGUGAAGAAGGUUUCGGAUCGUAAAACUCUGUCCUAAGGGAAGAAACAAAUGACGGUACCUUAGGAGGAAGCCCCGGCUAACUACGUGCCAGCAGCCGCGGUAAUACGUAGGGGCAAGCGUUAUCCGGAAUCACUGGGCGUAAAGGGUGCGUAGGCGGCUUAGCAAGCCAGGGGUGAAAGGCAUUGGCUCAACCAAUGUAAGCCUUUGGAACUGUUAAGCUUGAGUGCAGGAGAGGUAAGUGGAAUUCCUAGUGUAGAGGUGAAAUUCGUAGAUAUUAGGAGGAACACCAGUGGCGAAGGCGACUUACUGGACUGUAACUGACGCUGAUGCACGAAAGCGUGGGUAGCGAACAGGAUUAGAUACCCUGGUAG
rnacentral:rRNA from 1 species